AAACCAGCACCUCAAGUGGUCAGGAUGGUUAUUGGGCCUAAAGCAUCCGUAGCCGGCUCUGUAAGUUUUCGGGUAAAUCUAUACGCUCAACGUACAGGCUGCUGGGAAUACUGCAGAGCUAGGGAGUGGGAGAGGUAGACGGUACUCGGGAGGAAGUGGUAAAAUGCUUUGAUCUCUCGAUGACCACCUGUGGCGAAGGCGGUCUACCAGAACACGUCCGACGGUGAGGGAUGAAAGCUGGGGGAGCAAACCGGAUUAGAAACCCCAGUAGUCC
rnacentral:rRNA from 1 species